CCAAUAGCGUAUAUUAAAGUUGUUGCAGUUAAAAAGCUCGUAGUUGAAUUUCGGGGUUAGUAGGUUGGUCAUGCCUCUGGUAUGUACUGGUCUCACUGAUUCCUCCUUCCUGAUGAACCGUAAUGCCAUUAAUUUGGUGCUGCGGGGAAUUUGGACUGUUACUUUGAAAAAAUUAGAGUGUUUAAAGCAAGCUAACGCUUGAAUACAUUAGCAUGGAAGAAUGAAAUAGGACGUUCGAUCCUAUUUUGUUGGUUGCUAGGAUUGACGUAAUGAUUAAUAGGGAUAGUUGGGGGCAUUAGUAUUCAAUUGUCAGAGGUGAAAUUCUUGGAUUUAUUGAAGACUAACUACUGCGAAAGCAUUUGCCAAGGAGGGUUUCAUUAAUCAAGAACGAAAGUUAGGGGAUCGAAGACGAUCAGAUACCGUCGUAGUCUUAACCAUAAACUAUGCCGACUAGGGAUCGGAUGAUGUUAAUUUUUUAAUGACUCAUUCGGCGCCUUACG
rnacentral:rRNA from 1 species